CUCUAUGGCAGAUCGCGUGGGGAGAUCCUCGUGGUCUGCCGGUACUUGUCCCGGUCUGUCAACCCUGCGCGGUCUGCCUCCAUC
rnacentral:antisense_RNA from 2 species